AUAAGCUGUGCCAUGCACUUUGCAGAACCUCUGGGAUCUGUGAGAUCAAUGAAAUUAAUAUUUUUUUCCAUCAACUGAAACUGGACAGCCACAAAAAAACCAUGGGAAAGGAAGGAAUUCCAGAGAACCUAUGUUCCAAGGAGGAUGACCUUGGGAUAGGAAUUUGAGACAAGGCUGUAGGGGUGGACAUAAUAUAAGUGAUAAGCAAAAAUUAGUUGAUUGUCAAGGAACAAAUACUGAAUGAUGGUCUGAAGCAAGAUGGAAGAAGAUGAAGUUUCAAGAAUAAUGUUGACCCCUAUAUCUGAAGAAAAAUAUAUCACAAUAAAGAAAACCAAAUGUUAAGUUAUACAGAUAUUAAAACCACAUGCUAAUUCAGAGGACUAUGCA